rnacentral:other from 1 species
GAUUUCCUGGAAUGUUCGCUAAUGGGUUAUGUCCCUGAGCCGAUACUUAAAAUCUUAUAAAUCGGUUUCCCGUCAUUGGUGUGUAGGCUUUGCCUUUAUUUUCCUUCUGGAUAAUUAAAGGAAUUAAGAAACCUGAAAAUGACCUUAUCGAUUUCCUUGAACCAUCGGGUUCAAGGACUGCCACCCACAACGGCAUUCCGGGUUCUUU